GACGAACGCUGGCGGCGUGCUUAACACAUGCAAGUCGAACGGAAAGGCCCUGCUUUUGUGGGGUGCUCGAGUGGCGAACGGGUGAGUAACACGUGAGUAACCUGCCCUUGACUUUGGGAUAACUUCAGGAAACUGGGGCUAAUACCGGAUAGGAGCUCCUGCUGCAUGGUGGGGGUUGGAAAGUUUCGGCGGUUGGGGAUGGACUCGCGGCUUAUCAGCUUGUUGGUGGGGUAGUGGCUUACCAAGGCUUUGACGGGUAGCCGGCCUGAGAGGGUGACCGGCCACAUUGGGACUGAGAUACGGCCCAGACUCCUACGGGAGGCAGAAGUGGGGAAUAUUGCACAAUGGGCGGAAGCCGGAUGCGGCAACGCCGCGUGCGGAUGACGGCCUUCGGGUUGUAAACCGCUUUCGCCUGUGACGAAGCGUGAGUGACGGUAAUGGGUAAAGAAGCACCGGCUAACUACGUG
rnacentral:rRNA from 1 species